GACGAACGCUGGCGGCGUGCUUAACACAUGCAAGUCGAACGGAAAGGCCCUGCUUUUGUGGGGUGCUCGAGUGGCGAACGGGUGAGUAACACGUGAGUAACCUGCCCUUGACUUUGGGAUAACUUCAGGAAACUGGGGCUAAUACCGGAUAGGAGCUCCUGCUGCAUGGUGGGGGUUGGAAAGUUUCGGUGGUUGGGGAUGGACUCGCGGCUUAUCAGCUUGUUGGUGGGGUAGUGGCUUACCAAGGCUUUGACGGGUAGCCGGCCUGAGAGGGUGACCGGCCACAUUGGGACUGAGAUACGGCCCAGACUCCUACGGGAGGCAGCAGUGGGGAAUAUUGCACAAUGGGCGGAUGCCUGAUGCAGCAACGCCGCGUGCGGGAUGACGGCCUUCGGGUUGUAAACCGCUUUCGCCUGUGACGAAGCGUGAGUGACGGUAAUGGGUAAAGAAGCACCGGCUAACUACGUG
rnacentral:rRNA from 1 species